rnacentral:rRNA from 1 species
CACGUAGGAGGCGAGCGUUAUCCGGAUUUACUGGGCGUAAAGCGCACGCAGGUGGCUUAGCAAGUCGGACAUGAAAGCUCCUGGCUUAACUGGGAGAGGUGGUUCGAAACUGCUGAGCUUGAGGUUGGGAGAGGGACGUGGAAUUCCCGGUGUAGUGGUGGAAUGCGUAGAUAUCGGGAGGAACACCAGUGGCGCAAGCGGCGUCCUGGCCCACACCUGACGCUGAGGUGCGAAAGCGUGGGGAG